AUGGAAUGAGAGUUCGACGAAUUGGCGCCUGACACUCUCUCCCUCUAUAUAUAUAUGUUCCAGCUCCAGCACGAAUUGAGUUUGCUAGAUUUGAAAUGUGGCGCGCUUGGCGAAAUAGGCAAGCUGUUCGUACAAGAAACACAUCGCGGCGCUCGUGGUCACAACAAGUCAUGUCUCACAAACUGGCUGUGCGCCCACAUCUGUUGAGCUCCACAUAGGGGGCACGGGAGAGAAAGGGAACAAAGAAGCUAAGAGGAACUAUGGCUGAUUAGUUAGAACGACGAGAGCAAAAGCUCAAGGAAACGCUCCCAGAUUUGAUUUUGUCGCUCCGGUAACUAGUAGAAUGUUGAAUGGAAUCGCGCGUUGCGUUAAGGAAGCUUAAAUUAAGGUAUCACUGGCCCCCCCCCACCAUGGGGUUGAUGCUGAAGCAUUGCUACUUUCGGCGAUCGAACGGGCGGUGUGCUAUCAUCGAGUAGUC